rnacentral:rRNA from 1 species
AUUGAACGCUGGCGGCAUGCCUUACACAUGCAAGUCGAACGGCAGCACGGGAGCAAUCCUGGUGGCGAGUGGCGAACGGGUGAGGAAUACAUCGGAACGUGCCCGAGAGUGGGGGAUAACGCCGCGAAAGCGGCGCUAAUACCGCAUAUUCUCUGAGGAGGAAAGUGGGGGACCGCAAGGCCUCACGCUCACGGAGCGGCCGAUGUCGGAUUAGCUAGUUGGUGGGGUAAAGGCUUACCAAGGCGACGAUCCGUAGCUGGUCUGAGAGGAUGAUCAGCCACACUGGGACUGAGACACGGCCCAGACUCCUACGGGAGGCAGCAGUGGGGAAUUUUGGACAAUGGGGGCAAGCCUGAUCCAGCCAUGCCGCGUGAGUGAAGAAGGCCU